rnacentral:rRNA from 1 species
CAAUAGCGUAUAUUAAAGUUGUUGCAGUUAGAACGCUCGUAGUCGGAUUUCGGGGCGGGCCGACCGGUCUGCCGAUGGGUACGCACUGGUCGGCGCGUCCUUCCUUCCGGAGACCGUGCCUACUCUUAACUGAGCGGGGGCGGGAGACGGAUCGUUUACUUUGAAAAAAUCGGAGUGUUUCAAGCAGGCAGCUCGCUCUUGCAUGGAUUAGCAUGGGAUAAUGAAAUAGGACUUUGGUGCUAUUUUGUUGGUUUCGAACACCGAAGUAAUGAUUAACAGGGACAGUCAGGGGCACUCGUAUUCCGCCGAGAGAGGUGAAAUUCUCAGACCAGCGGAAGACGAACUACUGCGAAAGCAUUUGCCAGGGAUGUUUUCACUGA